rnacentral:lncRNA from 1 species
UUCAGUCCUGAUUCAACAUUCACAUUCAUGCUGUUCCAAACAAAACAACAAAGGAAAUAUGCUAAUAAUUCUGAUUUGAUGGAAAAGAAAGAAUGCAGUGGUAUGGAUGGAGCUUUUAUAUUUUUCUUUCAAGUAAUUAUCAAGUUUGAAAAUUACUUCAUGAUGUUUUUCCUUUUAAUUGCAUCUGGGCCUAACAUAAACACAAAAGAGCAUUUUCACGGGGAAGGAAGCAGAAUUGAAAGUUCUCUUUUUCUUUUUUCUUUUAAUUUCGCAAGUAAAAACUAUAUCUUUGAUAUUUCGGUAAUAGAACAUCAG